rnacentral:rRNA from 1 species
AGAACCUUACCUGGUCUUGACAUCCACAGAACUUGCCAGAGAUGGCUUGGUGCCUUCGGGAACUGUGAGACAGGUGCUGCAUGGCUGUCGUCAGCUCGUGUUGUGAAAUGUUGGGUUAAGUCCCGCAACGAGCGCAACCCUUAUCCUUUGUUGCCAGCGGUCCGGCCGGGAACUCAAAGGAGACUGCCAGUGAUAAAGGGGAGGAAGGUGGGGAUGACGUCAAGUCAUCAUGGCCCUUACGACCAGGGCUACACACGUGCUACAAUGGCGCAUCCAAAGAGAAGCGACCUCGCGAGAGCAAGCGGACCUCAUAAAGCCCCUCCCGGAUUGGAGUCUGCAACUCGACUCCAUGAAGUCGGAAUCGCUAGUAAUCG